CCUAUGGGUGGCAGCAGUGGGGAAUAUUGCGCAAUGGGGGCAACCCUGACGCAGCAACGCCGCGUGAUUGAAGAAGGCCUUCGGGUUGUAAAGAUCUUUAAUCGGGGACGAAUUUUGACGGUACCCGAAGAAUAAGCUCCGUCUAACUACGUGCCAGCAGCCGCGGUAAUACGUAGGGAGCAAGCGUUAUCCGGAUUUACUGGGUGUAAAGGGCGUGUAGGCGGGCAUGCAAGCCAGAAGUGAAAUCUGGGGGCUUAACCCCCAAACUGCUUUUGGAACUGCGUGUCUUGAGUGAUGGAGAGGCAGGCGGAAUUCCCAGUGUAGCGGUGAAAUGCGUAGAUAUUGGGAGGAACACCAGUGGCGAAGGCAGCCUGCCGCAGCGUUACUGACGCUGAAGCUCGAAAGCGCGGGUAUCGAACAGGAUUAGAUACCCGGGUAGUC
rnacentral:rRNA from 1 species